GAUGAACGCUGGCGGCGUGCCUAAUACAUGCAAGUCGAGCCAAUGGAUUAAGAGCUUGCUCUUAUGAAGUUAGCGGCGGACGGGUGAGUAACACGUGGGUAACCUGCCCAUAAGACUGGGAUAACUCCGGGAAACCGGGGCUAAUACCGGAUAACAUUUUGAACCGCAUGGUUCGAAAUUGAAAGGCGGCUUCGGCUGUCACUUAUGGAUGGACCCGCGUCGCAUUAGCUAGUUGGUGAGGUAACGGCUCACCAAGGCAACGAUGCGUAGCCGACCUGAGAGGGGGCUCGGCCACACUGGGACUGAGAAACGGACCAGACUCCUACGGGAGGCAGCAGUAAGGAAUCUUCCGCAAUGGACGAAAGUCUGACGGAGCAACGCCGCGUGAGUGAUGAAGGCUUUCGGGUCGUAAAACUCUGUUGUUAGGGAAGAACAAGUGCUAGUUGAAUAAGCUGGCACCUUGACGGUACCUAACCAGAAAGCCACGGCUAACUACGUGCCAGCCGCCGCCGUAA
rnacentral:rRNA from 1 species